rnacentral:rRNA from 1 species
GUGAGGAAUAUUGGUCAAUGGGCGAGAGCCUGAACCAGCCAAGUCGCGUGAAGGAUGAAGGUUUUAUGAAUUGUAAACUUCUUUUGCAGGGGAAUAAAGUACGGUACGUGUACCGUUUUGUAUGUACUCUGCGAAUAAGGAUCGGCUAACUCCGUGCCAGCAGCCGCGGUAAUACGGAGGAUCCAAGCGUUAUCCGGAUUUAUUGGGUUUAAAGGGUGCGCAGGCGGGUUGAUAAGUCAGCGGUGAAAGUUUGCAGCUUAACUGUAAAAUUGCCGUUGAAACUGUCGAUCUUGAGUGCAAAUGAGGUAAGCGGAAUGUGUUGUGUAGCGGUGAAAUGCUUAGAUAUAACACAGAACUCCGAUUGCGAAGGCAGCUUACUGGGAUGCAACUGACACUGAUGCACGAAAGCGUGGGUAUCAAACAGGAUUAGAAACCCUAGUAGUCC